GACGAACGCUGGCGGCGCGCUUAACACAUGCAAGUCGUGCGGUGUCGAAGGCAAGUCUUACGACAAGCCUUCGACACAGCGGCGAACGGGUGAGUAACACGUGAGUAGCUGUCCUAAGGAGGGGGAUAACGCCUAGAAACGGGUGCUAAUACCCCAUAUGCCUCGCAAGAGGUAAAAGUGUACUUGUUACAGCCUUAGGGUGUGCUCGCGGCCUAUCAGCUAGUUGGUGAGGUAACGGCUCACCAAGGCUAAGACGGGUAGCCGGCCUGAGAGGGUGUACGGCCACACUGGAAUUGAGAUACGGUCCAGACUCCUACGGAGGCAGCAGUGGGGAAUCUUGGGCAAUGGGCGAAAGCCUGACCCAGCGACGCCGCUUGGGGAUGAAGCCUUCGGGCGUAACCCAUGUUGUAGGGACGAGAAAGUGACGGUACCUACGAGUAAAGCCCGGCCAACUACGUG
rnacentral:rRNA from 1 species